CGCCUGUUCAACUGGCCAAUCAGGAAUUGCUGGAUCAAGCGUCUCUGCGAAGUUCCCUUUCUCAAUAGCCCGUUCCACAAGAUGAGUCAAACCCAUUGGGGGCUUUGCCGUUAUUAUUUGAAGAAGCAAGAUCCCAAAAAGUCCCGGCCGUUGAUGUCAUGCGAUACUGAGUUACAGUAUUGGCUACUGAUGGAGGGACAAGCCUGGCCAAGCCAACAUCGCUAAUCUUGCUGACGUAGUUACGAUCAAGCAAAAUGUUGCCAGGUUUUAGGUCACGAUGCACAAGUGGUUCUGGCUUGGUUUGGUGGAGAAAAAGUAGGCCAGUGCCAAUCUCUGCGGCUAUUCUGAAUCUAUGUUGCCAAGGAAGUACUGGGCUGUUUCCUCGUCGGAAGAGACGGUCAUCCAAGCUUCCAUUGGCCAUAUACUCAUAGACCAAGCAACCAUAUUCUGGGCAGGCGCCUAGAAGGAGAACCAUGUUUGGAUGUCGAAUGCAGCUUAGUACUUCAACCUGCGUCAUCAUUGAUGACAUUCUUCCGCUCUCUGGCGGAGAGGAUGAGAAGUCAAGUGGUUGCAAAGUCAUAUCGAAAGACUUGUUCCCGGAGAAAGAUGAGGCAAAACUAUUGUUGUCAAAGUCUGAACUGGUGGAAGAAAGCCUGCCGGGUUCCACGUUAUCGUAGAGGGAAGGAAGCAUGUGAUCAGUGCUCGGUCUCCCAGUGCUUACGAAGGAUAUGUCGCUAUCUGUUGAGGACAACUCAAAUGAUUUAUUGGUUGAAGCUCUUCCUCUGGUGAAUGGCGACCUGUUUCAGUUCUCAAUCAGUUAGUCUUCCCCAUUAAAGCACUGUUUUUCUGCCCAUCAGGGUGGUGAUGGAAGACUCUUGUUCUCACAAGUAAUUAGUGUCCCUGUGACUGGUUUUUUGAUUCCCUGCACUGUAUUUCGUUCAUAAAUAUGUCUCGAUUUUUAAAUCCAUUGGUGCCUUGAGCA